rnacentral:rRNA from 1 species
GACAGAGGUGCCGAGCGUUAGGCGGAAUCACUGGGCGUAAAGCGUGUGCAGGCGGCUUAUCAAGUGGUGUAUGAAAUAUCCAGCUCAACCUGGAGGGUUAUGCCAGACUGGUAGGCUAGAGUGCGAGAGAGGGGCGUGGAAGUUCCGGGUGUAGUGGUGAAAUGCGUAGAGAUCCGGAGGAACCCAGAGGCGAAGGCGGCGCCCUGGCUCGACACUGACGCUCGAGACACGACAG